UUUUUUUUUGCUAAAAUAGCGGGGUAAUGCACCUACGGUUUCUUGGGAUGCAUACAUCUCAAAAAGUUACCUAAAAUAAAAAAAAAAACAUCCCAAUUGGACAUAAAAAAAGUCAUUCCAAUUGUGUGCAUCGAGUGUGCAACCCACAACUUGGCCAUCAGGUCAAAUGGUUUUUGACCAAGUCAACAGUUUUUUAUUGUUUGGUGGGUUUUAACUGAAUUGGACCCAGAAUCCUGGCCGGGUGAUAGUUUGAAUGGUUCGACCAACCGGGUCAAUGGUGAAUUGAAAACAUCUCCUUAUUUGUAUGUUUUAUUCAGGGAGAGAGAUUCUCAGUGCACGACUGCAAAUGAUAUGAGGUGGGUGUAAAAAUCAUUCUGUGAAGAGGGAGUUUGGAUCUCCUGCAAGCAAGUAAAAACUCUGCUCACAUAGUAUCCAAUUGCAUGAGAAUAUCUUUCAUACAUUUAUAUUCCAUUCUUUCAUGUAUAGAGUUUUUGCUUGCAGAGAAUCCCUUUGCAUGUGGAAGAAAUCCAGAUUCCUCCUCACGCUUCUUUUUGCUUCAUCUCCCCAUUCUUUUAUUUUUUUUACUUUUUUAAUGGUUUAGCGAAUUGUUGUAGCCUUCACAGCAACCAGCCGGAGGCUUUUUUUUUUUUUUUGAAAAAUAACCAGCUAGAAACAUUUUCAGUCCGAUCUGGCCAUAACAAGCUACCCUGCCUGUUUGAUUGAACCAUCCUAAUGUUUUUAACAAUUGACUAAUUCUAUCUUUACCAUUAGCAUCGGCUAAUAUUCUGUCAAAAUCCAUACACAUGUGAAUUGUGACAGCACAUGACAUUUAAGAUUUUUCUAAAACCCAAUAUUAUUCCCAUCUCCUUCUUCUCGACGCAGCGGCAAAACACCAGUACCCCUUCCUCCAACCUCUCUCUCUCUCUCUCUCCUUCUUCUUCCACCUUCAGUCAACCCUUUUCACCUUCUUCAAGCUCACAAUACCGAACAAAGCUGGCAACAAGCCUUAAUGGAGGUUGUUAGAUCAAAGUUCUCUUUAUUGUUGUUUGUUUCGUUUCUUUCAUCUCUCGCAAUACCUUAAUAGAGGUCGUCAGAUCAUAUGGUAUUUGAUGAAGGGUGAUUUAGCCCGACCUAGUAAAAAUGGGACACGUGGACACGACCUGAUCAAGAGAUGACAACUCAGCCUGACAAGUUCAGUUCACAACAAUGAAGCUUGCGUAUUCAGUCACAUUGGCACAAAGGCCACGGUUUAAGGAUCACGUCGGAGCAGAGCCACCUAGAUGCAGGCCUCACCUCGACAUCGAGGCACCUCGGUAUUCAAGCCAGUUCGGAACUAAAAGGCCGAAGUACCAGUUCGGAACCAACAACUCAAAUCGACACGUAACCAACUCUAGAGGUCUCUCCAACAACUCCAGAAUCCCUCGAGAUCACGAUAAAUUAACAGAUCCCGACCUUUCCGGGAUCACGAUAAGCACUUAUCGUCACUCCGUCGGAAUCAGAGGAGGAAUGAGAUAAGCCAUACCUGUAUGUUGUUCCUUUGGAAGCGGAGUGAACUCCAUCUCCACAUCCUGGAUAUCCCGGAACUCUUUCAUGUGCCCCACGAAUACUCAACUAUAUAAAGGCUCCAACCCCGAUGGCAUGAGAUUUAGCUAUCUUGCCGUCCCACCGAAAGCCAGAUCUCACGACAUCAUGGAGCCACCGGAGAGUUCUCUUCACUGCUUAGUGGAGGUUGUCAGAUCAAAUCAGAUGGCCCUUAAUGGAGGUCAAAUCAAUCAGGGACUUGAGUCGGUGUUUCCAUUUGCACUCUCCUUUUUCUUUUCCUUCUUCUUCCUCUGCCUCCCUUCUCCUCUGUCUAUUUUUGGAUCAACAAAAAUCACCGCACCACUGCAACUUCCAACAGCGGCAAUGAUUUUCUUCUUCCUCUGCCCCCCUUCUCCUCUAUUUUUGGAUCGACCAAAAUCACCAUCGCCACUGCAACUUCCAACAGCAGAGGUGAUCUUCUUCCUCCUCCACUCCCUUUCACCUCUGUUUUUGGAUCGACCAAAAUCACUGCCGCCGCUACAACUUCCAACAGCAGCAGUGAUCUUCUUCCUCUGCCCCCCUCCCUUCCCCUCUUCAUUCUCCUUCUCCACCUCCCCUACAAGCUGGUAGAGCGAUUGGAAGUGUCGGUGGUGGUGCUGAUCCGGUGAUGGGAGUCCGUACAAUCUCAUAGCCAUCUGAUCAAAAGAAUCUCAACAACCACGAGAACCAGACCCUCUUCACUACUCACCAGAUAUUAGAAGCAUGGAUCUUCGUAUCUCAGGAGCUCACCGGAAAACCAGCCCAAGACGAAGCACAGACAGUAGGCAAUGUUGAAUCCUCGUUCAAGGUCACCUCCACAUAACCGACCCCAGAAGCACCACUCGUUCUUGGUUAGUUGAGAAGAGACCCAACUUAGAAAAAGCAGCGGUUGCCGGAAAAUUCGAAAUAGUGGUCGAGAUGUCAAUCCUAAUGGUGACUCUGGCCAUAAUGCUCUUCUGGGGUAAACUUCAUGCUAGUUUAGUUACGUAAGCAUGAUUAUAUUCCAUCCCUCGCCUCUGAAUGGCUGUAAAGCCCGACAUAGUCGCUGGAGAAGGAGCGAAUUCUAAUAGCAUUGAUUUCAACUCCGAAGAGUACAAGAAGAAGGUGACCUUAGAGGGGUUGUUGGAAAGAAACCACCGGAGCGGUGUUGGACUUUUCUGACUCAGUCGAGAUUAUGUUCACAUGAUCACAUCUAACUUCGCUAUAUUGAGGUUGCCACAUUGUCAUGGAGUAGCAUCUCCCUACUCAAAUCCAACUGCCACAACUGUGAAAGGGUUGGUGUGCUCAGAUCAGCUGCCACUGGUUGCCACCAGAUCCAAAUCUACCGUUGUAAUUGCAGUGGCGAUGAUAAUGCAAGAGAAGGGAUAAAGAGAGAAUGAGGGGAGAGUAAAAAUGGGAUCAAGGGAGAUUCAGAAGACAACUUAAAGGCAAAAUAUGGACGUUUCAUUAGUUCUAUUACGAUUUAACGGUGAUGGCAAUUGUUAGAAACUGGAGGGGUGGAUUAAGACAAUAAUUAAAUAGUAAAGGUACAAUUUCUCAAUUACCUAAACAAUAGGAGUAGUUUAAAAUUUUUGC